rnacentral:misc_RNA from 1 species
GAUGAAGAACGCAGCGAAAUGCGAUAAGUAAUGUGAAUUGCAGAAUUCAGUGAAUCAUCGAGUCUUUGAACGCACAUUGCGCCCCCUGGUAUUCCGGGGGGCAUGCCUGUCCGAGCGUCAUUGCCGCCCUCAAGCACGGCUUGUGUGUUGGGCCCCCGCCCCCCGGCUUCGGGGGGCGGGCCCGAAAGGCAGCGGCGGCACCGCGUCCGGUCCUCGAGCGUAUGGGGCUUCGUCACCCGCUCUGUAGGCCCGGCCGGCGCCCGCCGGCGACCCCAAUCAAUCUUUCCAGGUUGACCUCGGAUCAGGUAGGGAUACCCGCUGAACUUAAGCAUAUAAUAAGCGGAGGA